UGGCACCUCGGGGGAUUUAGGAUUUCUUCCUAACGAGCUCUCAGUCAGUCACCUGGGCUGUGCGUGAGUUCAUGUCUUCAGGAGCUGAGGACUACGAGGCAUCACAAAAGUGGCCACGAGAGGCAGGUAAAGGCCCCCAAAGUCUUCACCAUCGUCCGCCUCAGAAAAUCACUUGUCUGAUGCUCAGGCGGAGCCCAGCAAACACCCCGACCCCCUGGAGGUGCCACGAGGAAAGGAGUGUCCUCAGAGAGCUUCCGGGGAAGCCAGCCCUAUGAAGCCCUCCACGUUCACCAGGAGUUCAUCGCAGCUGCGGCCAGGCUGGGAAGGAGAGGUGGCCACAGGCAGGCAGCGUGUCUGUUCCGGAUGCAAAGCGCAGCCCCAGCCCCGCCCGCUGGAGCCCUCUCUGGCGCUGGGUGGACAAAGCUGCAGUGCGCCGGCCAGGGAAGGCCGAGGAGCCGCCCAGGCGAGGCCCGAGCUGCCUGGUGGCAUCUGUGUGGACCCCAGGCCAUGUCACUGCCUCAGCACACUCGACCUCCAACUCACAUUCCUCACAGGUGGCCCGGGAAAGGGGACCACCCACUCGGCAGGAGCUCCCUGAGCCAGCUCAGUGGAUGGAGCAAACUGACUUGGAAAUCAAAGUGAUGCCCAGACGGAGCAAGAGACAGCCCCGGACCAGCCCCCGGGCCACACCCGCGCACCAGCCAGGACCAGGCCCCGCGGAGGCUUGCUGGGAAGCUGGCGCUGUGUUGUUUCCCCCGCCAGCUGCUCGCUUCCUCCCGGGCUCACUGGAGUGCAAACUGCUUUCACUUGUUUGAAAUGGAAAUUUUUUCGUCUCUUUA
rnacentral:lncRNA from 1 species